GGGGGGGGGGGGGGGCGGGGCGGGGGGGGGCGGGGCGGGCGGUGGCGGGUCUGGGGGUGCUGACGGGUGGCGAACGGGGGAGGAAUACAUCGGGACGGGCCCGAUCGGGGGGGGUAACGGAGCGAAAGCUUGGCUAAUACCGCAUACGAUCUACGGGUGAAAGCGGGGGACCGCAAGGCCUUGCGCGGACGGAGCGGCCGAUGGCAGAUUAGGUAGUUGGUGGGAUAAAAGCUUACCAAGCCGACGAUCUGUAGCUGGUCUGAGAGGACGACCAGCCACACUGGGACUGAGACACGGCCCAGACUCCUACGGGAGGCAGCAGUGGGGAAUUUUGGACAAUGGGCGAAAGCCUGAUCCAGCCAUGCCGCGUGCAGGAUGAAGGCCUUCGGGUUGUAAACUGCUUUUGUACGGAACGAAAAGACUCUUUCUAAUAAAGAGGGUCCAUGACGGUACCGUAAGAAUAAGCACCGGCUAACUACGUG
rnacentral:rRNA from 1 species